UUCUUUUCUGACAGAAAUUUUAGAAACUAUAGAAAUUUUGUAAAAUUAAUGCAAUGUUUAACUUACCUUUAAGGAAUCCAACGUAGCGGGAGAAACACAAGAACAAGGAUGAAGGGAUGCUGCUUGAGUUGUAAAUAGAUACUCGAUUAAACGACAGACAGCAAGGGUGCCAAAUACGUUCGACCUCGCAGGCAAAUUGUUGCGUACCUUGUACGAAAAAGGUACUCACUGAAUUCCAAUAUCGGCGAAAAUAUAAAACACGUUUCAAAAACUACCAUUAGUUUUGACCUAAACUAGCCUCUGGAAAGUCCUUGUUUCGACUUGAGAAUCAAACGCGUUCUAUGUCGAGUGCGAUAUUAGAAACUGCAAAAGCAUGUGUGUAUUUUAAUUUGUCUGAUCGAACAGCUCAGGUGGCAACUCUGCCUUUGAUUUUGCGCCUGGUGUCGG